rnacentral:misc_RNA from 1 species
UUCCGAGUCCCAAUAUUAGUCCUAACGCCAUUUCCCAAGCUAAUCACCUCAAUCAAACAAAAGAACAGUACCAGAACCCUUACUGAAAUUUCCUCGGCUAGGUUAUCUAUCAACCGGAUACGAAUGUCUUCGCGGGGUUUAAGCGCGUCGGAAUUAUCUUACGGCGGUGGAAUUUAAACUCGCUGAAGGGAAGAGAUGGACAGGUGACAGAAUUGUUGAACCUAUGGCGGCAGCGGCGAGUAUCUGUGGGAAUAGGAGAGGAGGAGG